GCCCGGGUGGCGGAAUUGGUAGACGCACCAGAUUCAGGGUCUGGCGUGGGCAACCACGUGCUGGUUCGAGUCCAGUCCCGGGCACCA
rnacentral:tRNA from 1 species